ensembl:lncRNA
GUAAGCGAUCUCUGGGUGGGGCAGGAGGGUCUGGGCCACACCGCCAGCCAGGGUGGGAAGGCCUCCUUCCUCAGCUGCAGCUGCCUCCUCCUGCUAGGCACGCUCCGUCCCACUGGGCCCCCUCAUGUGGUCUCAGCUUCUAACCCGUGGCUGUUUCCCCAAGCAGCUGGCUUCCGGAAACCAGCCGCCCCCUCAAUUACAGAUGCUCUUCAGAUAUGAUAAUAUCGACUUCAUGCACUUCUUUCAUCACUGAAAGCAUUUGGAAUGCAUUGCUUUGGCUUACCAUCGCAGAGGUCCAGGUCAGAGCCACGGAGUGAGAAGCACAGAGUCCUGAGAGACGGAAUCCCAGCCAAGUUACUUAAACUUUCUGAAUCUCAUGGACCUCAUCUAAAAAUCCUCAUGAUGAAGAUCAAAUGAAAGAGAAAUACCACCCCCCUGCCGACGUCUAUGCUGUGAACAUAGUGCCCAUCCAAGGCCCUUGUGCGUGGACCUGAGAUGCCAUUCCAGAGGUGGGAACAGAGACCAAGGCAAGUAUAAGGCGGGGUGAUGGGUCAGAGAGCAACAGAGAGAAACACAGAGGAAGUCAUAUGGAUGCAGAACUCAGUCAUCAUGCCAGCCAUGUAACAGGCAAGACUUUCUACUGACGGGAGAGGUUGCCUUGAGAGAGAGUGUGCCCCCCACUGGUGGGAAAGGUUGGAGGCCACCUGCAAGGCGCACUGAAGUUGGAUUCCUGCCCUGGUGAAGAUUUUUUUGAGUUGACAUCCCACAGUGAGGCAGAUUCUGGGGUCACUUUUGUUCUGAGCAUUGACUGUGUGAUCAGGAAGCUAGCUGCCCAAGGGCGAGUGUAGACACGUGGCAUGGUGACCUUGGUGAGCACUUCAAGACAAGCAGAAGGGUGCUAUUUUCCACACGUGGUUGUUUCAUUGUUUAAUGACAGACUUGUAGCUUGAGUACAUAGUGACACUUAUUGGGUGAAUGUCCAACAUUCAUUUUGUCUCUUUCCGUUUAACUGCACCCAGAUUUUCAUUUGAAAAACUCCCUCGAAUGGGUGGUCAGAGCAGAGGCUGUAAAUGCUCUGCCCCUAUAAUGUGUAGUAUGUACUCUGGGUUCUGGCUUCUUUUGUCCAACAUUUCAUUUCAUCUGACUCCGAUUGUCGGUUCCUGCCUUCCUUACUCUGAGAACUUUCUUUAACCUCUAGGGCUUUCUCUGCCAUACAGAAAAUUACAGAGAAUCAAUUGUCCUCAUCUAACACUGAAUCAUAAUCAGUCCUCAUCUAACACUGAUAGGAAGGGUGUAUAAAUAUCCCAGCCCCUUGCCCUUCAGCCUUCCCCUGUCUGCCUCAUUCUUCACUCCUUUACUAGAAUUUUCCAGAAUUCCUUCCAAGAUAAGGUUCUUGUUGUUGUUUAGUUGCUCAAUCAUGUCUGACUCUUUGCAACCCCAUGGACUGUAGUCCGCCAGGCUCCUCUGCCCAUGGGAUUUCCUAGGCAAGAAUACUGGAGUGGGUUGCCAUUUCCUUCUCCAGGGGGUCUUCCCAACCCAGGGAUUGAACCCACAUCUCCUACAUUGGCAGGUGGAUUCUUUACCUCUGAAUCACUUAGGAAACCCCCAAGAUAGGCUGCUGCUGCUGCUAAGUCGCUUCAGUUGUGUCUGACUCUGUG